rnacentral:tRNA from 1 species
GCGGGAAUGGCGAAACUGGUAGACGCGCUAUCUUGAGGGGGUAGUGAGAGUAAUCUCAUGGGGGUUCGAGUCCCCCUUCUCGCA